rnacentral:tRNA from 1 species
GGAAGGGUGGCCGAGUGGUUUAAGGCAGCGGUCUUGAAAACCGCCGUGGGGCAACUCACCGUGGGUUCGAAUCCCACCCCUUCCGCCA